rnacentral:rRNA from 1 species
CCUACGGGAGGCAGCAGUGAGGAAUAUUGGUCAAUGGACGGAAGUCUGAACCAGCCAUGCCGCGUGAAGGAUGAAGGCGUUCUGCGUUGUAAACUUCUUUUAUUUAGGAAGAAACCACCGAUUUCUAUUGGUGUUGACGGUAUUAAAUGAAUAAGCACCGGCUAACUCCGUGCCAGCAGCCGCGGUAAU